rnacentral:lncRNA from 1 species
CAGAUUUAGGCUGUAGAAUACACAAAAAACAGAAAAGUUACGCAAAAAUUUUGCUGAAGAAUACUACCUUUGUUGAGGCAGGAGUAUUACUUGAGCCCAGGAGUUUGAGAUGCAGUGAGUUAUGGUUGCACCACUACACUCCAGCUUGGGCAACAGAAUGAGACUUCAUCUCCAAACAAAACAAACAAAAAAUCUUUUUUAACCUAUACAUUAGUCUUUCUCUCUCUAGUUUUUCUGAACAAACUGAACAAGUAAACUGCAAACAUGAUGUCCUUUUACCCCUAAGUACUUUAAUGUAUAUUUCCUAAAAGAAAAAGAC